rnacentral:lncRNA from 1 species
CUGAAAUACAAUACAGAUUUUUUGCUCUUUACUAAAAAAAAUCUGCCUGAAGAAAAAAAUCAAGAGUAUUUACCAUCCUGAAGUCAGGUAAGUUCAGGUAACUGAUUCACUUCAGUUCAUAAUACACCAGUUUUCUUUAUACAUGGGUUUAUCCCAAGAUCCCAGCAACCCCCACUUGUGAGAAAUUAUUUUGAGAUCUUGGAGGAAGGGCCUUGUAUUCUCAAACUUCCUGUAUAUAUUUGAAAAGAAAUUUCAAGUUUGAAAGUUUGACAAUGGGAGAGCAACAGGAAACUAAGCACAAUAUACAUUUGUAAAGAUACAAAUAUACAUUUUGAAAUCAAGGGGACUCACAGUAAACAAGGUAAAUUAUGCACAUGAAAGAAGAUUCAUUUAUUUGAAAAGGAAGUAUCUGGAGAUAGGAAAAACCAAAGAUGUUUUUUCCUACUUUCUUUUUUGUACAGACAAGGUCUCACUAUGUUGCCCAGGCUGAUCUGGAACUCCUGGCCACAAGGAUCUGCCCUAUCCUGAAACUUUCUAGGGGCCCCCAGCCACCAGUCAUCACAUGAGCAUACAAAAGACACUUAACUCUGCAGAUUCCGCUGGAUGUCAGGGAUUGGGGAUAAAGACCAAAUACAUAUUUCACAAUAUCAUAGCACGUUAUUUUUUGCGUCUCAGCAAAAGUGACAAACACAAUGGGAAAAGGAGACUGAUUUCCCUCAUGCCAUUAUGAGAAAAAUAUCUGAGUGUACACAGUAACACACACGGCAAAGGCAAA